rnacentral:rRNA from 1 species
CCUACGGGUGGCAGCAGUGGGGAAUAUUGGACAAUGGGGGGAACCCUGAUCCAGCCAUGCCGCGUGUGUGAAGAAGGCCCUCGGGUUGUAAAGCACUUUCAGUGAGGAAGAACGCCUGGUGGUUAAUACCCAUCAGGAAAGACAUCACUCACAGAAGAAGCACCGGCUAACUCCGUGCCAGCAGCCGCGGUAAUACGGAGGGUGCGAGCGUUAAUCGGAAUUACUGGGCGUAAAGCGCGCGUAGGUGGCUUGAUAAGCCGGUUGUGAAAGCCCCGGGCUCAACCUGGGAACGGCAUCCGGAACUGUCAAGCUAGAGUGCAGGAGAGGAAGGUAGAAUUCCCGGUGUAGCGGUGAAAUGCGUAGAGAACGGGAGGAAUACCAGUGGCGAAGGCGGCCUUCUGGACUGACACUGACACUGAGGUGCGAAAGCGUGGGUAGCAAACAGGAUUAGAUACCCCAGUAGUC